CGUAGGGUGCGAGCGUUAAUCGGAAUUACUGGGCGUAGAGCGUGCGCAGGCGGUUUAGUAAGACAGGCGUGAAAUCCCCGGGCUCAACCUGGGAACUGCGCUUGUGACUGCUAAGCUAGAGUACGGCAGAGGGGGGUGGAAUUCCACGUGUAGCAGUGAAAUGCGUAGAGAUGUGGAGGAACACCAAUGGCGAAGGCAGCCCCCUGGGUCGAUACUGACGCUCAUGCACGAAAGCGUGGGUAGCAAACAGGAUUAGAUACCCUGGUAGUCCACGCCCUAAACGAUGUCAACUAGGUGUUGGGAGGGUAAAACCUUUUAGUACCGGAGCUAACGCGUGAAGUUGACCGCCUGGGGAGUACGGCCGCAAGGUUA
rnacentral:rRNA from 1 species